rnacentral:rRNA from 1 species
CCUACGGGAGGCAGCAGUGGGGAAUAUUGGACAAUGGGGGCAACCCUGAUCCAGCCAUGCCGCGUGUGUGAAGAAGGCCCUCGGGUUGUAAAGCACUUUCAGUGAGGAAGAACGCCUGGUGGUUAAUACCCAUCAGGAAAGACAUCACUCACAGAAGAAGCACCGGCUAACUCCGUGCCAGCAGCCGCGGUAAUACGGAGGGUGCGAGCGUUAAUCGGAAUUACUGGGCGUAAAGCGCGCGUAGGUGGCUUGAUAAGCCGGUUGUGAAAGCCCCGGGCUCAACCUGGGAACGGCAUCCGGGACUGUCAAGCUAGAGUGCAGGAGAGGAAGGUAGAAUUCCCGGUGUAGCGGUGAAAUGCGUAGAGAUCGGGAGGAAUACCAGUGGCGAAGGCGGCCUUCUGGACUGACACUGACACUGAGGUGCGAAAGCGUGGGUAGCAAACAGGAUUAGAUACCCGUGUAGUC